GCAGUCGAGGGGUAGCAGGAUUUAGUUUACUAGAUUGCUGACGACCGGCGCACGGGUGAGUAACGCGUAUACAAUUUACCUUUUACUGAAGAAUAGCCCAGAGAAAUUUGGAUUAAUGCUUCAUAGUAUUAUUUGGUCACCUGGCCGAGUAAUUAAAGCUCCGGCGGUAAAAGAUGAGUAUGCGUCCUAUUAGCUAGAUGGUAAGGUAACGGCUUACCAUGGCGACGAUAGGUAGGGGUCCUGAGAGGGAGAUCCCCCACACUGGUACUGAGACACGGACCAGACUCCUACGGGAGGCAGCAGUGAGGAAUAUUGGGCAAUGGAGGCAACUCUGACCCAGCCAUGCCGCGUGCAGGAAGACUGCCCUAUGGGUUGUAAACUGCUUUUAUACAGGAAGAAACUUACCCACGUGUGGGUAACUGACGGUACUGUAAGAAUAAGGACCGGCUAACUCCGUGCCAGCAGCCGCGGUAAUACGGAGGGUCCAAGCGUUAUCCGGAAUCAUUGGGUUUAAAGGGUCCGUAGGCGGGCAAUUAAGUCAGAGGUGAAAUCCCACAGCUCAACUGUGGAACUGCCUUUGAUACUGGUUGUCUUGAGUUACAGUGAAGUAGAUAGAAUAUGUAGUGUAGCGGUGAAAUGCAUAGAUAUUACAUAGAAUACCGAUUGCGAAGGCAGUCUACUAACUGUAUACUGACGCUAAUGGACGAAAGCGUGGGGAGCGAACAGGAUUAGAUACCCUGGUAGUCCACGCCGUAACGAUGGUCACUAGUUGUUGGGGUCUUGUACCUCAGUGAUUAAGAGAAA
rnacentral:rRNA from 1 species